rnacentral:misc_RNA from 1 species
GAUGAAGAACGUAGCAAAAUGCGAUACUUGGUGUGAAUUGCAGAAUCCCGUGAACCAUCGAGUUUUUGAACGCAAGUUGCGCCCGAAGCCUUUUGGCCGAGGGCACGUCUGCCUGGGCGUCACGCAUCGCGUCGCCCCCCACAAUUCUCCGUAAAGGGAACAUGUGUUUUGGGGGCGGAUAUUGGUCUCCCGUGCUCAUGGCGUGGUUGGCCGAAAUAGGAGUCCUUUCGAUGGACGCACGAACUAGUGGUGGUCGUAAAAACCCUCGUCUUUUGUUUCGUGCUGUUGCUCGCAAGGUAAACUCUUUAAAAACCCCAAUGUGUCGUCUCUUGACGACGCUUCGCCCGCGACCCCAGGUCAGGCGGGACUACCCGCUGAGUUUAAGCAUAUCAAUAAGCGGAGGA